rnacentral:rRNA from 1 species
AUUGAACGCUGGCGGCAGGCCUAACACAUGCAAGUCGAGCGAGCGGCGGACGGGUGAGUAAUGUCUGGGAAACUGCCUGAUGGAGGGGGAUAACUACUGGAAACGGUAGCUAAUACCGCAUACCAUCAGAUGUGCCCAGAUGGGAAGAGCUCGUAGGUGGGGUAAUGGCUCACCUAGGCGACGAUCCCUAGCUGGUCUGAGAGGAUGACCAUCCACACUGGAACUGAGACACGGUCCCGACUCUGACGGGAGGCAGCAGUGGGGAAGCUUGCACAAUGGUCGCAAGCCUGAUGCAGCCAUGCCGCGUGUGUGAGGAAGGCCUUCGGGUUUUAAAGCACUUUCAGCUGGGAGGGGUCACCCGCAUAAGAAGCACCGGCUAACUCCGUGUCAGCAGCCGCGGUAAUUC